rnacentral:tRNA from 1 species
GAGGGUAUAGCUUAGUGAUAGAGCACAUGCUUAGCAUGCUAGCAUUCAAGAGGUCCUGGGUUCAAUCCCUGGUACCUCCA